CUUUCUGUUGGCACACAGCUGUCAUCAGUUUUGGGGUUGGGGAAAAAAAGAACUAAAAUUAUCAUCAUAACCUUGAAUUAUCAUUACCUGUGUUAUAGGUAGCUUCUCUGCCUAUAAGAACAGAGAACCCCUAUGCCUCUUAUACUACCAGAAUUCUUUCAAUUAUGGAGAUUUAGGAAAGCAUAUUUCAAGUUUCCUCUGAGGAGAAGGCGAACAUGUUCCUUUCUAAAAUAAUGUUCAUGGAGCCAGUACAAUUUAAUAACUCAUAAGUGCUAAAUAUUUAAAUUUGUGUAAAUUGUAGGUUAUAUGGUCAAAGCAAAUUUAGAUAUGCUUGGCUUGCUUUUAAAAUUUAUUAUUAUCCCCCUACAUUUGGACCUUCUUAUAUAUCAAACCUUUGUUUUUCUCUUAAUUGUCCUUCCUGAAUGAUUUUACUCACUAAUAGCAGUUAGUUCCUUUUCCCCAUGUUUCCACAUGUGUUCCAGGGGUAAUUUUGAUCCCUUAAUGAAUUUACUUCCGCAAAACUUAAUAUCCAUCUCCUUCCUCAAAAUGUUUCUCAAGUUCUGCCUCACUGUUGAACAAAUAGGGAUAAGACCUGUGUUUUCAUGGAUAUGAAAAAUGCAAUGGAUGAGGAAACUCUUUCUAAUGAUUCAGGCCAACACCUCAGAAACUCAUCUUCUCCAAGUGUUGCCUUGAACACUGAGAAGUUAAGUGAUUUCCCAUGGUCACACCAACAGUAAAGUGAAACUGGAAUCCACUUCUUCUUGACUGUGGGGAUGGACCUCUGUAGUCAUCUUGAAGAUAGUCAGUAUACCUGGGAGAUGUAUUUCCCAAUGAAACAGAAGGUGAAUAAGCAUCUUCCAACAUGCUUGCCUGAGUCAAUGUCAGAAAGUCAACAUUUUGGAGGUCCCACCGAGAUCCAAAGUCCCAGCUACCUGAGCCUCCCUGCUAAUAAGGACCCUGAGAGUUGGCCCAUCUUGGAUACUUUGAUGAGCAUUACCAUUCAGAGCUAUAAAGAAGUCAAAAAUAUCUUAACUAGCCUUUUUACACAAUUCUAUGUGUAUAUUUUAAAGAAGUUACCUUUUUUUAUCUUCUUUACAUUGAUUUGCCAACUGAUUUAAAUAUAAUAUGAAAAAUUCACAUAUCUUUUCAGAUACACAUGUGUAUAAAGUGUAAUUAGAAUUUCUAUACCACAGAAAUACAUACAUAUAAUUAUGUACAUAUACACAUAUUUUUAUGUGUAUAAAAUUGCUGCUCACAGACAUAAAGUUGUACAGCAGAGAAAACAAUUUCACUGUCCAUGGAAACAGAAGAGCUAGAAUUAAAUAUUUUUUCUGAUGUUACUAUUUUUGUUACCUUGGACAAAUCAGCUACUUACCUUCAGUGGGCUUCAGUUUUCUCUUUUAUAAAAUUAGGUGUUGAACUAGAUGACCUCUGACAUCCUUUCUAGCUGUACAAAGUAGGCUUCAGGUUCAGAACACUUUAUGGGAUCAUCACACAAAAUCUUCUCUAUUUAAAAUUUCAAGGAAGAUAGCUGCUUAGAUGUAGCAAAAGUCCAGACCUCUGUGAAAACCCUUCCACAUCAAUCAAAAAUGGAGUGCUUCAAGGGGGCAGAAAAUCAAAUCUAACUACAGUACAGAGCUGGGGGACCCCCUGUUUUCGAUGUAAAAGAUACACCAAAAAAUAAGCCUGGAUUCGGUGGAUUAAGGAAAAGGAAGAAGGAAAGUCUGAGACCCCUACCCUAACUAUCUUGCUGAGUUUCCAGUAGUUGCUGGAAUCAUGGGGCAAGGGCUCUAGCUUUGCUGACACAGCUGUUCCAGGCUCAGGGCACUAACCACAUUUGUCAGGGAGGCAAUUGAAGGAGAAGCUUGGAAAGGGUAACCUCCUCAAGCAGCCAGAACUCUCCUCAGAGCACAUAUAGCUCCACAGAUAAACUCUGCCCAGGCUUAAUCUUAUCAAUAGGGCAGAUAAGAAGCACUCAUAGAGUAUGGAAGCUCAAGCUCCAAUUCCCCUGCCCCACUGACUGAGCUGACCACUGCAGAAUACCUUGAUAACCGGGUGGGAAGCAUAGCUCCCUUUAGCCUCCACACCUUCACCUACACCUUCAGCUUCUGUGACUAGCUGGGGAAGAUCUGACCUCAGGGCUCAUUAAUUCUCCACCAGCCUAAUCUAGUUAAUCAGCAGACCAUAACAACCAAACUGAAAGAAAUCACAUGAUUAUCUCAAUAGAUGCAGAAAAAAACUUUGACAAAAUAAACAUUCAUUCCUAUUGAAAACA
rnacentral:lncRNA from 1 species